GACGAACGCUGGCGGCGUGCUUAACACAUGCAAGUCGAACGGAAAGGCCCUGCUUUUGUGGGGUGCUCGAGUGGCGAACGGGUGAGUAACACGUGAGUAACCUGCCCUUGACUUUGGGAUAACUUCAGGAAACUGGGGCUAAUACAGGAUAGGAGCUCAUGCUGCAUGGUGGGGGUUGGAAAGUUUCGGCGGUUGGGGAUGGACUCGCGGCUUAUCAGCUUGUUGGUGGGGUAGUGGCUUACCAAGGCUUUGACGGGUAGCCGGCCUGAGAGGGUGACCGGCCACAUUGGUACUGAGGUACGGCGCAGACUCCUACGUGAGGCAGCAGUGGGGAAUAUUGCACAAUGGGCGGAAGCCUGAUGCAGCAACGCCGCGUGCGGGAUAACGGCCUUCUGGUGGUAAACCGCUUUCGCCUGUGACGAAGCGGGAGUGACGGUAAUGGGUAAAGAAGCACCGGCUAACUACGUG
rnacentral:rRNA from 1 species